CGAGGGACUAUUGUGAAAGUACGACUCUCGGAUUUUACGCGCGUCGGUUCACUGACACUCAAUGAAGGGGAACGCGGCUUUUGCGGAGUAAUAGACCCCGCCAACGGUUUUGCUUACUUUGGCGGUCUGAACUCCGCAAGUGUCGUCAAGGUGAGGCUCUCUGACUUUUCGCGGGUCGCGGCCGUGUCUUUAAGCUCGUCGCCGCUGAGCGCCGCGAUCGAUACGGCUAACGGGUUUGCUUAUUUUGCGGGUUCGAGCAACCGCAUUUCCAAGGUGCGCCUUUCAGACUUCAUCAGCG
rnacentral:misc_RNA from 1 species